rnacentral:rRNA from 1 species
GAUGAACGCUGGCGGCGUGCUUAACACAUGCAAGUCGAACGGACCAUAUUCGUAUGGUUAGUGGCAGACGGGUGCGUAACACGUGGGUGGCCUGCCCUUAAGUGGGGAAUAACUCCGCUAACGCGGAGCUAAUACCGCAUAUGUUCGCUCAUUCGGUUGGGCGAGUAAAGCAGCGAUGCGCUUAGGGAUGGGCCUGCGGCGGAUUAGGUAGUUGGUGGGGUAACGGCCUACCAAGCCGAUGAUCCGUAGGGGCGUGAGAGCGUGGCCCCCCACACUGGCACUGAGACACGGGCCAGACUCCUACGGGAGGCAGCAGUGAGGAAUAUUGCACAAUGGGCGCAAGCCUGAUGCAGCAACGCCGCGUGAGGGACGAAGGCCUUCGGGUUGUAAACCUCUUUUCUGAGGGACGAGGAAGGACGGUACCUCAGGAAUAAGUCUCGGCUAACUACGUGCCAGCAGCCGCGGUAAGCUAGUCUACG